rnacentral:rRNA from 1 species
GAGUUUGAUCCUGGCUCAGAACGAACGCUGGCGGCGUGGAUAAGACAUGCAAGUCGAACGAUCACUAUUGGGUAGCAAUAUUCGGUAGUGGGAGUGGCGCAAGGGUGCGUAACACGUGGGUAAUUUGCCGUAAAGUCUGGGAUAACUUGCUGAAAGGCGAGCUAAUACCGGAUGUGAUUGCUGGAGGGCAUCCUCUGGCACUUAAAGUCGGGGACCGUAAGGCCUGACACUUUUCGAUAAGCCCGCGGCCUAUCAGCUAGUUGGUGAGGUAACGGCUCACCAAGGCUAAGACGGGUAGCUGGUCUGAGAGGACGACCAGCCUCACUGGAACUGAGACACGGUCCAGACACCUACGGGUGGCAGCAGUCGAGAAUUUUUCUCAAUGGGGGAAACCCUGAAGGAGCGACGCCGCGUGGGGGAUGAAUGGCUUCGGCCCGUAAACCCCUGUCAUUUGCGAUCAAACCUUACGACCUAACACGUCGUAAGCUGAUAGUAGCGGAAGAGGAAGGGACGGCUAACUCUGUGCCAGCAGCCGCGGUAAUACAGAGGUCCCAAGCGUUGUUCGGAUUCACUGGGCGUAAAGGGUGCGUAGGCGGUCGGGUAAGUCUGACGUGAAAUCCUCAAGCUCAACUUGGAAACUGCGUCGGAUACUAUUCGGCUAGAGGAAUGGAGGGGAGACUGGAAUACUUGGUG